rnacentral:lncRNA from 1 species
UGAGCACCGCUCAGGACUGCAGCUGUUGGGCACCAGCAGCCAGGUCUGCAGGCUCCGCGAAGCCUGGCCCGGACCGUAGCUUCUGCAAGCAGUCCAGGUGUAUCCUGGGGUCACUGGAGGGCAGAGCCUGCUCAGAGCGAGUACAGAAGCAGCCCAGGUCUUCCCAGCACCAGGUUCACUGGAAGUGCCAGGCCACCACCUCCUUCAUGCUCCUCUGUGAUCACCUCUCCAAGUCCCGGUGUCAGGAGCCUUCUCUGUGGCCGCCCUGGAGAGACUUGAGCCUGGGACGUGACGUGCUGGGCUGUGAAGCUUUCUGAGAAGGGAAACCUGUGGCCUGACCUGCCUGAAUGCUGCACCCAACCUCAU